rnacentral:lncRNA from 1 species
CAGUGGAAACAAACCCAACUAGAAACCAUCAGGUUGCAGGUUUGAUCUCUGGCCUCGCUCUGUGGGUUAAGGAUCCAGCGUUGCCUUGAGCUGUGUGUAGGUCCAGAUGUGGCUCGGAGGCCACAUUGCUAUGGCUGUGGUGUAGGCUGGCAGCAGUAGCUCUGAUUUAACCUCGAGCUUGGGAACUUCCAAAUGCCAUGGGUGUGGCCCUAAAAAGCAACAAAUAAAUAAAUGAAAUUAAAAUAGCCACAGGCAAUUAAUUAAUACUUGCUCUCAUUUCUUCUAGAAGUCUCUGAUAGUGAUUCUAGAAAGGCCUGUGUAAGAAAUGAAAGUGAAGUCACUAAUUCUACAAAAGCUUGUCUGAAAGAUGAAAGCAGUAAGUUUCAUAUAUGCCUGUCUUUAUGUCAUGCUAGAGCACUGUCUUCCUCUGGCUAAACAUAACUUUUAAAUAUUCCUGGUUUAAGGUAAAAAGCCAGAAUGUCUGCAUAUUUAAGAGUAGACUGGUAAUAUUUUAAAGUCGAUCCAUCAUUUCCUAGCAGUAAUCUUAACACAGUAAAUACAUAUGAGAUGACUGUAAAUCAGAGUUGCAGUGACAGACUCUGAAUUAUUUCAUCAACGAGCUGCCUUCAUUUUGGUGGCUUGGGUUUCAAAUGACCGAGCAAAAAUGAUACCAAGUCGCCUCUGGAUUUCCUUAAGGCUUUGGACACUGCUAGCAGCUAGUGAGCUAAACUGACACUUACUGAGAGCUUCGCUGUAUGUGAAGCUCUUCAUUAUAUGCAAAAGCCUUGUACUGUGUUUCUUAUAUAUUAUCAGUGUGAUUUUCAUAAUACUCCUAUGAAGAUGUAUAUAAUUUUGCCCCUUUUUAAAAAUUAGGGCAAUGAACCAAAAUUAAGUCCCUGGUACCAAGCCACACAGCCAGAUAUGGGGUUUCAGCCUGGGCCAUUUGAAUUUCUCCUCAAUUGUCUGUAUCAAGACAUUGAUACAGAGCUAGAAAUCCCAAUGCUCUGGCCUCGAGACAAGAGGAACACAUGGGUGGGGUUGUAAGUAUACGAGCUUCUGACUAUCACAGGCUAGACUUCAAACUCAGUUCCCUUAUUGUUCCCUGCAUGAAAAUGGGUAAAUUACUUCUAUGUCUGAGCAAGACUGGUAGAACAGGGAACAAAGACACUUAAGUCUGUUCUUGAAGAAAAGCUCACAUGUGUAUAUCAUGAAUUGUCUAGAAUAAGGUAUCCAUUUCGCCAGCACAGAGUCAGUACUAGGUGGUGGCCCUUUCUGCCUGUGUGGGACGUUCUAAGCGAACUGAGAUGCACUGGCUCUGGUCCUGCUGAUCCUUCCUCCAGGCCCAGUAUCGGGGGGCCUGGAACUCAGUGGCCAUCUGACCACGGGCAGUGGGUUAUGAGCACAUCACCUCCUGAUCCCGUUCCACACCAAGUGCUAAUGAUCCCGGAGUUCUGACUCUAUGAAGAUGAAGCAUGGAAAAGGGACAUUUCCGGGAGAACAGACUCAACCUUGUGGUUUGUUCAUUCAGGAGCCACACCUGCCCCACCAUCACUGUUGGUAAUUAUUUCUUGAAAACAUAUGUUUCUUAUAAAAUUUCAAAGGAGAGUAAGUGCAAUUGUCUUAUAACAUCACAGCCACAAUGAGAGACAUUCAAGACACAGAGGUGACUGAGGCAUGAGCUCCUAAAGUUCUAGGGAUUUUGGAUUAAUUUUCUUCCAUUGUGUACAAUGCUGUCUUGAUUAAAAGUUCCCACCCCACUGUGAACAACACCAGGAGAUUUCAUGAAUCGUACCUUUCUCAAGAGUCUCACUGAAGUACGUGUAUGGCUCAAGUGCUUCCAAAUCACCAAUUACAUUUUUUAUUUAUUUAACUCUUGAUGUCCAGGGUAUGUAUUGCACUCGGGGAUGCAGGACUGCGGGGAAGCUAAGAAUGUGUUUUUAAAGUCAUAUUGCUGGGAUGCUGGAUUGAAAUGUGGUAUCUCACACUUUCUAAGUGUGUGACAUCAGGCCAAUUCCUCCUCUCUGUCCUCAGUUUAUUUGUUAAACGGGACUGAGAAUAAAAAUCUCAUUCACUAUUGUAAAAAUUAAGAUUCAGGUUUUGCCUGCAAAAUUCUAAGCGUAUGUGGCAUUGGUUAGUGGUUAGUGAAUACUACCUAUUAUUAGUUCUUAAACAUGUGGAAAGGGUAAAGAAAAUGCUAAAAGCAACUUAUCACAAGUGGUUUUUUACAACUGGACUCACUCGUUAAAAACACGACCUUACUUUUCAAGAAGGUUCUACUGAAUUUAGAAUUGAAUUUUCAAUAAGGUUCUAUUGAAUUUAGCUGAAGUUGUUUUGAAGACUUGAGUUUUGAACUGGAUUCUGAGUUGUCCUGAUUGGGCUGGUCGAGGUGGUAGUAGUUUGCUUUGGGGCUUGGUAAUGUGGGGCAUGAGGAGUAACUAAUUGUGACCCCUCCCCAUCACUAUGACCUAGCCUUUCAACAGAACAGAUAACUCAUCAAAAUGACUUCUCUUAGAUACCCUGCAGCUGCAGCUCGAGAACACCUCUGCCUACUACACCUACCUCCUCCUCCUCCUCAAGAGUACCCUCUACUUCGCCACCGUCCUCUCCUGUCUGUUUAGGAGAACAGUCUGCAGCAGUGGGAAGACCUCCUGACAGAUGAUGCCACCAAGGGCUCAACUUCGCUUCAGCAUCAUUGUCUCUACAAGUGUCUGCUGAGGAUCUAGCAGCACUUCCUUUCUGGGUUUGGCUUCCUUCAGAGAAUGUGUACAUCUUUGUAUUAGGUCAACAUUGUGUAGGUUUUUUCAAACCACUGGGCAAACAGACCCUUGCACUGCAUAACAAGGAAUUCUGCCAUGACUCGGGGCAGGGCUGAGGGCUGGUCCCCGGGAGCCUUUCCCACCACUGUCCCUCAGUGUCAUCAGCUCCUCCAGCUGCCUGAGUCCUCUUGCCUCGUGAGCACACACAGCACAGCACACAGCUCCCCGUCUCCUCCCUCAGGGCUCCACCCAGACCACAGCCCUGACCUUCCCUGUACACAUCUGGAGCUCCCAGCUUUGCUGCUUCAAUUCUGUUCUCUGAUUUUCAUAAUAGGCACAAUCAAUUAAAAAGAUAUCCAAACUC